ensembl:lncRNA
GACGGGGCAGGUAUGCAUUCCGGGUGUAAUGUGGAGUCUGGGGACCGGCCGAGGAGAGUGGAGGGGGGUGUGUGUGCUGCUGAGGACGGGGCUGGCGGGCAGGGUACCCGGGCACCGUGGAUGGGGGCCCGGGGACAGGCGCCGGCAUCCCUCUCCCCACUCAUACUUACCCAUUUGGGGGGCUGGGGGCCCUGCAUUAGUGAGUUUUAAAGCAUUGGUGGAGGAUCAGUGUGCGUGAUUCUUUGUGUGUGUGUGUGUGGUGUGUGUGUGUGUGCGCGUGUGCGUGUGUGCGCGCGCGCGCCGCGAUGUGCUACGUGUUCCUGCAGGUGGGCCCCUGGGUUUGGAGGUGUAGGGGUUUUUCAGCGGCUGUGUGUGCACCCAGGGAGCGGCUGACCACGUAUCUGCCGUGUGUUUGGAUAUGCAUUUAUGUGUACACUCCGGGGAAGGGCUGUGUGUCUGUGUGUGUGAACUGCGGAGGGGUUUCUGGGAAAGAAGGGUGUAGGUACUGAGGAGGGUGGGUGUGGAAGAGCUGAAUGGGGCAUACCUGGCUGGGUAGGUGUGUGUGCACCUGUGUGCCAGAAAGGGGGUGAGGGAAUCUGUUCUCUUGGGUGUAACCUGUGUUGAUGGUUAAGUACCAGCGUGUGGACCCGCCUUAGGUGGUGUGUGUGCUCCUGAGUGUGUGUUGGGGUACUACCUCUUGCCUCUGCAGGCACAUUGUCCUGGCAGAAAGCCCAAAGGGAUGGCUGUAUGGAAGAUUCUGAAGCUUCUUGGUUGGCUCUCCCUGGAUUCAAAGGCUCAGCCCCCUCAGGCCACGGUUCUCCCGGGAAAGCUGCCUUGGGGUCUUUGACUUCGGAGUGCACUGACUGCCCUGCCUCCCGGAUUCUCCAGCUCCUGAGGAGUCGGGAUUUCUUUCGGUCUGGGGUGGAGGCAAGAGGACGCAGCCUGCUGGAGGGGUGAGACUGGUGUGGAACAACAGCCCAGGUCCCCGUCCCUGGGGUUGAGACGGUGGCAUGGGAGCUCUGGGGAGGCUGGUGGGCAGGGGAGGGGGUGGGCAUUUUCAGGAGUUUCUGCAGGUGUGUGCGCCCGCCCGCCGUGUAUGUAUCCAGUAGAUUCCCUUUUCCCUGGUGAGGAGCAUGGUUAGGGUGGAGCUGUGGGCUGGGGCUGGGCCUGGGGCUGAGGGUGAGGAAUCGGGGCCGAGCCAGUGAGAGCUUGAAUGUCCGCGUGUGGGGGAAAGGGUGGGCGCCCCUGGCAGGCUGUCCUGGUGUUUGGCCGGAGGUCACCACUGUCGGGGAAGGGGCUGUGUCCCUCCCCACAGAAGCAGCAGCUACCUCCUUUGCCCGUCCUCUCCCUUGUCCUUUCUCUUUCGGGGUGAAGGGAAGGGGCUGGCCUUCUUCUCCUCUUGAGGACGCACGCUUUUUCCUCCCAUGUCCCUCCCAGACACGUUCCUCUUGCCGCCAGGGCUUAGGGCGAGACACCCGCUUUUAGGGGCUGAGGUUUCGACUGCACACGUUUCUCAGGGUCGCCGAGGAAUUGGAAUCAGAGUGCUUGAGUCCCUAGUGGGCAUGUGCAACCGGGAUGUUCCGUCUUUAGUCCCCAGGGCUCCCUCGCUUUCCUAGGACUCUGGGAUGAGGGUGGUGGGAGUUAGGACACGUUGGGACUAGGGCUGGGGGCAGAGUGUGAAAGGCCUGAUGCGUGAGUGCUUCAAGCCCGACACCUGUCUGCCGGGCAGGGCUCCCAGGGUGAGUGAGG